CGUUCUGGAAGGGUGAGGGGCACGGGUGGGGGGUUGUGCCCCGGUUCCUGGGGUGGCAGUGCCCCACUGAUCCCAGCCCAGCACGGGACAACCAGGGCUUCGCUGGAGCUCAGCCUGCAGUACGGACAUGGACACAGCGAAGGCUUCCUGCACAUACAGCCGUCCCACUGCAUUCUCCAUGUUGCCAUUGACAUAGUUGGCACAGCGACGCCAAACAGCAGUUUCUGAUGUGGUGCCAUACAGAGCCUGUCAGACAGAUACAUCAGAGAGAACAGUGACUUCAGGGCGCAUGGAAGCUGCAGUGAAAAGUUGUUCUGGAGUUGUGCCAGCGUCAUUUUGUUGUACAUCAGAAGUGGAUCAUUUCUAUCUUCAGACUUCGUUGUUGCCUAUCAAAGUUAACAAGGAGAUUGAGUCAGUUCACAGGAAUCUUGGAAUAUGACAUUGAAAAUGAGCACUGUGAGAGAUUAAAAAGGCUGCAGUGGAAUCGGAAAAUUGAUCUGAUCGUUUUUCAAACCCCAACAUGAGCUUUCAUGAUGGCAGAAAAAUCCUUUUUCGGGCCUUACUGUAGAAUGACGUUAGCUGGGCAGCCUAUAAAACACACAGCUUUUCCUGGACAUGAAGACUAAUUCUGCCUCUCCUCAAACAGCAACAUGGCAUCUUAAAGAGCUAUUAGCAGUCAAGAGUCUCCUUAUAGGCAUCUUCAGAGGCACAGCGUUUCAGCACACGCUGUAGCACUGCCUGAAUGCUGACUUGGGGAUGAGGAAGAGCUGUUUUCUGGUUCACUGAAAUCAUUUUCUGCUGCUGGAGGUGUUUUUUGGAGAGUCUGCUUCUGAGUCUUGAGCCAGCCUGACCCUGAUGACUUUAUAAGACUCGGCAAUAUCACGUCAUGAGGUUUUACAUUACAAAGGGAAUUAUUUGGGAUAGCAGAUCACAUGCCUCCAUGGGCUGCAUUUGUCUACACUGAGCUAGCAACAUUAUGUGGUUGUCAUUUUGUUUAAAAGUACAGACAUAUAUUUAAAACAUGGGUAUGUUUGUUCUUACCUGACUUGAUGCAGUCUGAUGUCUUGCAAACCCCAUCUAGGAAACAAAGCAAUCAUACCUUUAACUUCUACUCAAUGUCAAUACAAUAAAAGCUACUGUAAAUUUUA